CCCUUAGAUGUCCUGGGCCGCACGCGCGUUACACUGAUGCAUUCAACGAGCUUAUAACCUUGGCCGAGAGGCCUGGGCAAUCUUGUUAACGUGCAUCGUGAUAGGGAUAGAUUAUUGAAAUUAUUAAUCUUGAACGAGGAAUUCCUAGUAAACGCAGAUCAUCAAUCUGCAUUGAUUACGUCCCUGCCCUUUGUACACACCGCCCGUCGCUCCUACCGAUUGAAUGCUCAGGUGAGCCAUUCGGACCUUCAUCAUGCCGGUUUCCGGUUUUGAUGAGGGAAAGUCUUGCGAACCUUAUCAUUUAGAGGAAGGAGAAGUCGUAACA
rnacentral:rRNA from 1 species